rnacentral:lncRNA from 1 species
UAAACUAUCCUCUAAACCUCUGUUAAUAAUAUCCCCUUUAAAGUAUUAGGUGUUUACAAAUUAAAGCACACAAUUCUUUUAACAAAAAUAUGAAAACAUAUGAGUUUAGCGUCGGAAAAUGAACGAGAAUGAAGAGAGAGAUGAUGAACACAAAGAAGAAGAGAGAAGCUUCUGGAGAAAGCCAGAAGAGAAAUGAAUACCCUAACUAAAAUAUCUGAUGUACAUGUAACUUGUAUAUACAACCACUCUUGGGUCGGGUCAGAUGGCCCAAGAGCAAAAAUAAAAUGGACUAAGAUACUUACAACCCAAUCAACAAUCAUCACAGCCCAACUCCCACAUAUACAAUGUAUACCAGUAAAAUACAAUAAAUAUAUAAUGUAUAUACAAUGUAUAAAAUCAUUUAUAAUUAGGUUUGGAAGCCAUGUAGUCCUUCAUCUCAACAAAAUAAAAACCACAUACAAACGGAAUCAAAAGAAUCAAUAGAGUGCCCAACUCCCACAUAUACAAUGUAUACCAGUAAAAUACAAUAAAUAUACAAUAUAUAUGCAAUGUAUACAAUCAUUUAUGCUUAGGUAUGGAAGCCAUGUAGUUCUUCAUCUCAACACCCCCCCUCAAGUUGGAGGGGGAAACCACCUGCAACUUGGAUAACAGCGGAUGAAGCACAGUGCCUGGUAAUGGCUUAGUGAGCAGGUCAGCCAGUUGACGAGAAGUAGGAACAUGAAACAACUGGAGAAAGCCAUUCUGUAGCUGAUCCCGAACAAAAUGACAGUCCACCUCGAUGUGUUUGGUACGCUCAUGAAAAACAGGAUUGUUAGCUAUAACAGCAGCCUGGCUGUCACAAUACACAGAAAAGGGAAGAGAAACAGAUACUCCAAGAUCAACCAAUAAACGAGAUAACCAAGAUAAUUCAGCAACAACUUUACUAAGGGCUCUAUAUUCUGCCUCAGCAGAAGACAAAGAAACAACAUGCUGCUUCUUAGAUUUCCAUCUUAUCAGGCAACCACCCAACAACACACAAAAUUCAGUAACAGAUCUCCUAGUAUCAGGGCAUGCAGCCCAGUCACUAUCAGAAUAACCAACUACAGAGAAAUCAUCACUGGCAUAAUAAAAGAGACCCAUAGAAGGAGUGCCUUUAAGGUAUCUCAAAACAUGAAGGACAGCAGUCAUAUGGGGAAGUCUGGGGCAUUUUAGGAAUUGACUCAGAUGUUGAACAACAAAGCNNNN